rnacentral:tRNA from 1 species
GCGCCCGUGGUGGAAUUGGCAGACACGAUGGAUUUAGGUUCCAUUGCGCAAGCGUGCAGGUUCAAGUCCUGUCGGGCGUACCA